rnacentral:rRNA from 1 species
AUCGAUGAAGAACGCAGCGAAACGCGAUAGGUAAUGUGAAUUGCAGAAUUCCGUGAAUCAUCGAAUCUUUGAACGCACAUUGCGCCUGCUGGUAUUCCGGUAGGCAUGCCUGUUCGAGCGUCAGCAAAACCUCUCAGCAAUACUUUUUAUUGUUGGUUAUGGGUUGUGGAGGACUGGCUGUAAUGGCUGCUCCCGCCUUAAACUUGCUGCACGACCGCAAGCUAAUGCUAGGUUAAUGAAGUGGUAUUUACAUAUAUUUCAGCGACUGUUCAUAGCUUGGUGGCGUUAAGACUGAUGUUGCCCUCGUGGUGACUGAUUUUUGACCUCGAAUCAGACAAGGAUACCCGCUGAACUUAAGCAUAUCAAUAAGCGGAGGAAAAGAAACCAACAGGGAUUGCCUCAGUAACGGCGAGUGAAGCGGCAAAAGCUCAGAUUUGAAAUCCAGCAUGCUUUGUGUGCUCGAGUUGUAAUCUGCAGAGAGGACUUCGGCUUAGGUACCGGUCAAGAUUCCUUGGAAUAGGAUGACAUAGAGGGUGAGAAUCCCGUAUCCGGCUGGCCGCCAACGCCAUGUGAAGCCUCUUCGACGAGUCGAGUUGUUUGGGAAUGCAGCUCUAAAUGGGUGGUAAAUUCCAUCUAAGGCUAAAUAUCUGCGAGAGACCGAUAGCGCACAAGUAGAGUGAUCGAAAGAUGAAAAGCACUUUGAAAAGAGAGUUAAAAAGUACGUGAAAUUGUUGAAAGGGAAGCGCUUGCCAUCAGAAUUGGGCUCAGUCGAUCAGCGUUCCUUCUGGUUCGUGCACUCGAUUGUUUCCUUGUCAGUACCAGUUACAGCGGCAUGAUAAAGAUGGCGGGAAUGUGGCUCUCUUCGGGGAGUGUUAUAGCCCGCUAUGUCAUGAUGCCUGCAGUGACUGAGGACCGCGCUUUUGCAAGGGUACUGACUUAAUGGUUGUAAGCGGCCCGUCUUGAAACACGG